rnacentral:rRNA from 1 species
AGUGAACGCUGGCGGUAGGCCUAACACGUGCAAGUCGAACGGCAGCACAGUAAGAGCUUGCUCUUACGGGUGGCGAGUGGCGGACGGGUGAGGAAUACAUCGGAAUCUACUUUUUCGUGGGGGAUAACGUAGGGAAACUUACGCUAAUGCCGCAUACGACCUACGGGUGAAAGCAGGGGAUCUUCGGACCUUGCGCGAUUGAAUGAGCCGAUGUCGGAUUAGCUAGUUGGCGGGGUAAAGGCCCACCAAGGCGACGAUCCGUAGCUGGUCUGAGAGGAUGAUCAGCCACACUGGAACUGAGACACGGUCCAGACUCCUACGGGAGGCAGCAGUGGGGAAUAUUGGACAAUGGGCGCAAGCCUGAUCCAGCCAUACCGCGUGGGUGAAGAAGGCCUUCGGGUUGUAAAGCCCUUUUGUUGGGAAAGAAAAGCAGCAGGUUAAUACCCCGCUGUUCUGACGGUACCCAAAGAAUAAGCACCGGCUAACUUCGU